rnacentral:tRNA from 1 species
UUAAUGACGGUGUUAGCGCACGGAGAAUUUUGAUUUCUCAAGAAGGAAUAGUCUUCCUUUAUUAAA